CCUACGGGAGGCUGCAGUGGGGAAUAUUGGACAAUGGGGGCAACCCUGAUCCAGCCAUGCCGCGUGUGUGAAGAAGGCCCUCGGGUUGUAAAGCACUUUCAGUGAGGAAGAACGCCUGGUGGUUAAUACCCAUCAGGAAAGACAUCACUCACAGAAGAAGCACCGGCUAACUCCGUGCCAGCAGCCGCGGUAAUACGGAGGGUGCGAGCGUUAAUCGGAAUUACUGGGCGUAAAGCGCGCGUAGGUGGCUUGAUAAGCCGGUUGUGAAAGCCCCGGGCUCAACCUGGGAACGGCAUCCGGAACUGUCAAGCUAGAGUGCAGGAGAGGAAGGUAGAAUUCCCGGUGUAGCGGUGAAAUGCGUAGAGAGCGGGAGGAAUACCAGUGGCGAAGGCGGCCUUCUGGACUGACACUGACACUGAGGUGCGAAAGCGUGGGUAGCAAACAGGAUUAGAUACCCUGGUAGUC
rnacentral:rRNA from 1 species